CGGACGGCUGAGUAACACGUAGGAACGUACCCCAAACUGAGGGAUAAGCUCCAGAAAUGGUGUCUAAUACCGCAUGUGAUCUUCGGAUUAAAGCUUCGGCGGUUUGGGAACGGCCUGCGCAUGAUUAGCUUGUUGGUGAGGUAAUAGCUCACCAAGGCGACGAUCAUUAGCUGGUCUGAGAGGAUGAUCAGCCAGACUGGGACUGAGAACGGCCCAG
rnacentral:rRNA from 1 species